rnacentral:rRNA from 1 species
AACGAACGCUGGCGGCAUGCCUAACACAUGCAAGUCGAACGCCCUCUUCGGAGGGAGUGGCGCACGGGUGCGUAACGCGUGGGAACCUGCCCUUAGGUUCGGAAUAACUCAGAGAAAUUUGAGCUAAUACCGGAUAAUGUCUUCGGACCAAAGAUUUAUCGCCUUUGGAUGGGCCCGCGUUGGAUUAGCUAGUUGGUGGGGUAAAGGCCUACCAAGGCGACGAUCCAUAGCUGGUCUGAGAGGAUGAUCAGCCACACUGGGACUGAGACACGGCCCAGACUCCUACGGGAGGCAGCAGUGGGGAAUAUUGGACAAUAGGGCGAAAGCCUGAUCCAGCAAUGCCG